CCCGGGGGCGGAUGCGGCCUAGUGGCGGACGGGUGAGUAACGCGUGGGCAAUCUGCCCCGUACCGGGGGAUAACACCUGGAAACAGGUGCUAACACCGCAUGACAGGCGGGGGCGCAUGCCCCGGCCUUGAAAACUCCGGUGGUACGGGAUGAGCCCGCGUCCGAUUAGCCAGUUGGCGGGGUAACGGCCCACCAAAGCGACGAUCGGUAGCCGGCCUGAGAGGGUGGACGGCCACAUUGGGACUGAGACACGGCCCAAACUCCUACGGAAGGCAGCAG
rnacentral:rRNA from 1 species